CAGUAGCCGCGGGAAUACGUAGGGUGCGAGCGUUAAUCGGAAUUACUGGGCGUAAAGCGUGCGCAGGCGGUUCGUUAAGACAGAUGUGAAAUCCCCGGGCUUAACCUGGGAACUGCAUUUGUGACUGGCGAGCCAGAGUAUGGCAGAGGGGGGUAGAAUUCCACGUGUAGCAGUGAAAUGCGUAGAGAUGUGGAGGAAUACCGAUGGCGAAGGCAGCCCCCUGGGCCAAUACUGACGCUCAUGCACGAAAGCGUGGGGAGCAAACAGGAUUAGAUACCCCAGUAGUCCCUGUCUCUUAUAC
rnacentral:rRNA from 1 species